AGCGAACGCUGGCGGCAGGCCUAAUACAUGCAAGUCGAACGGCUCUUCGGAGCAGUGGCGGACGGGUGAGUAACACGUGGGAACGUGCCCUUUGGUACGGAACAACUGAGGGAAACUUCAGCUAAUACCGUAUGUGCCCCCAUUCUUAGCGGGAUGGGUGGGAAAGAUUUAUCGCCAUUGGAGCGGCCCGCGUUGGAUUAGCUAGUUGGUGGGGUAAAGGACAACCAAGGCUACGAUCCAUAGCUGGUCUGAGAGGAUGAUCAGCCACACUGGGACUGAGACACGGCCCAGACUCCUACGGGAGGCAGCAGUAGGGAAUCUUGCGCAAUGGGCGAAAGCCUGACGCAGCCAUGCCGCGUGAAUGAUGAAGGUCUUAGGAUUGUAAAAUUCUUUCACCGGGGAAGAUAAUGACGGUACCCGGAGAAGAAGCCCCGGCUAACUUCGUGCCAGCAGCCGCCGUAA
rnacentral:rRNA from 1 species